UUUUCCGGAUGUUUUGUGGAUUUUUUCAAUCUGCAGUUCCCUCACCCCCCGAGGAAUGAAUCAACUCAGCCAGCCCGUUGGACAGAAACACUAAACAUCAGAGAAUGGGGAUUUAUAACAGUGACAGCCUGGUUGAGCCGAAGAUGUCAGCCCCUAAUGCAGGGGAACCUGAAAUUUAUAUGGAGCUCGAAGUGGACUUUUUUGGUGGGAAUAUUUUGGGUGGGAAGGGAAGAGAAUCCAGUGAAGUGGGAGGACCAGUCCAGGACUUCUACUUAUGGCUUCAGCCCUCAUGCUCCCAGGCCAGGAGCCAGCAGGACCAUCCCGGGCACCACAGCAGGAAACAUCUUGGGUCCACUGGGCACCAGCAGAGGUCCAGCACCUGCUCUCUGUCAUGGAGGAGGCUGUCAUCAGGAGGUGCCUGAAGACAGUUCACCACAAACACUUCAGUCUAUGUAGAUGUGGCCAGGUGCCUUCAGGAGCAGAGAUAUGUCUGGCAUGCACACCAGUGCCAUACCAAGUUCAAGGCCUUCAAGCUGGCCUUCAAGAUUGGGCCCACAUAGCCAUCCUGCGCUCUGGGAUAACUCCUUCUACAAAGCCGAUCAUGGGCAACAGCAGCCCAGACAACCUCAGAGAACAAACACAGCCAUAGCAUCUCAACCACCACUACCUGCCAACCUAGGGAAGGAAAAAAAGAUAAUGAACAGAAAGAUAGAUGAACAGAAGAGUACUCUCCCCAGCAACAGCAGUAGGAAGCAUCAGAACCAGAGAUGGAGAUAGAGACAGAGUAUCAUUUUAAGCUAAAAGUGGGAGCAUUAGAGCUGUCUAGUGACCUCAGUCCUGAAAGCCCAACUGGUUCCCAGACCGACAAAAGAACUGAGAUGGAGAUUAAGCAGAAUGUCCAAGGGAUUGGGGCAGAUAAGUGGCCAAAUGUGUUCUACCAAAGCUUUGAUGCCAUGGGUCGGGGUGGAAGAGGAAGUCAUAAAUGAUAAAACCAAAGUCGGGAUGUCCUCAAAGUUCCUAAAAAUUUUAAAAAGCAUCAUUUAACUAUAGAUAUUGGAAUCAGCAUAUUUAAGCUGGAAGGGACAGCUGGAGACCGUCGUCAACCUUUGUAGUUGAGGAAACGAAUCCAGGAGAAAGUAAUUUGCGAAAGGCGACGCUGCCGGUUAAUGCUAAGACUGACACUGAAACCCAAGCCCAGUGAUGCUUCCAUUGGCUUAUAACUGGCUUUUGACUUAAAUGUGCUUGUUAACUGGACACCAUGGGAAUCUUUUCCAGUCUUAAAACUGGGGCCUGGAAAGAAUAGGUUGAGGACAGCAGCUAGAAUUUUGUUCUCUUUUUCUCCAACAAAAGCCCAGAGGAGGCUAGAGUCUCCAGAGAGAAACUAGCCUUAGAGACUCCAUCAUCAGCCUCAAAGGCUCCAGGAGUCUCUGCAGUGUCCCCUGGAGCACAGGAAGAUAGAGUGUGCCAGUUCCAGCCCAGAUCCAUUAACCUUGGGUGCUAUCAGGCCAUUGCUGCCAUUAUGGCAGCUGAAAUGGCAGAGAACAGGUACCUGGUCAGCGAACCAGAUACCUGGUCAGGAAUCAGCUGCCCAGUGGCAGUGUCACCUAGACCAGCACAUUGCCCAUAUGGCAGAUGGCCGGAGACAUUUACACCCGGUGCCAGGAGGUGGUAGCCAUUCUUCAGGACAUUGCUGAUAAAGUCCAUGAGCGGGUAGCCCUCCUAAGGUCAUCUCUAGGCUACCUGAGCUAAGAGUGAGACCUAUAGACCACAGCCUCUGCCAUACUCAGCCACCCCAGGACCUAACAGAGAUUUCUCCACUGAGACUGGGAUUUUUGCUUCUCUUUUCUCUUCCUUUUUCUUCUAGGAGAAAUUUGAAAAUUAAGUAGAGAAAAGGUGAAUAAAAGGUAAAGGAACUUAGGAUUUUAAUAAAAAGAUCUUCAUAUGAAAGCAGCUAGCAUUUGGGGGUUUUUCCUUGUUUCAUUCUGUCUCAGCCCAAUAGCAAAGAAUGGACAAGCCCCUGGACUAGGGCUUCUAAUGAUUAUAAUCAGACCUUAGCCAAGAGAAGCUAUGGUGGACAGGCCUAGGUCUGUCUUCUCAUUACCUCUGAGUCCCAUUUGUUAUCAUUCAUAUAUUCAAGAGACAUUUGAAGGUCUACUAUAUGCCCAGACAUUAUGUUAAGUACAGGAUAUUUGUUAGUGAUGAAAGUGCACUUCAUGUUUGGAAAACAGUAUGAUGGUUUGAAAAAGUUAAAAAUAGAAUUACUAUAUGAUGCAUCAAUCCCACUUCUGGGUAUAUUUCCAAAGAAUUGAAAGCAGGAUGUCAAAGAGAUGCCUUUGUUUAUUACAGUAUUAUACACAGUAGGCAAGAAGAAGAAGCAAAAUAAAUGUCCAUUGUUGGAUGAAUGGAUA